rnacentral:rRNA from 1 species
GAUGAACGCUGGCGGCGUGCCUAACACAUGCAAGUCGAGCGAGGGUUUGCUCAGUAUUGAGUAUUCUAAGUCUAGAAUGUUCAAUUCUGAGCAAAACCAAGCGGCGGACGGGUGAGUAACGCGUGGGUAACCUGCCCUAUACACAUGGAUAACAUACUGAAAAGUUUACUAAUACAUGAUAAUAUAUAUUUGCGGCAUCGCAGAUAUAUCAAAGUGUUAGCGGUAUAGGAUGGACCCGCGUCUGAUUAGCUAGUUGGUGAGAUAACUGCCCACCAAGGCGACGAUCAGUAGCCGACCUGAGAGGGUGAUCGGCCACAUUGGAACUGAGACACGGUCCAAACUCCUACGGGAGGCAGCAGUGGGGAAUAUUGCACAAUGGGCGAAAGCCUGAUGCAGCAACGCCGCGUGAACGAUGAAGGUCUUCGGAUCGUAAAGUUCUGUUGCAGGGGAAGAUAAUGACGGUACCCUGUGAGGAAGCCCCGGCU